rnacentral:rRNA from 1 species
UUAAUUCAUGCAAAAACAUCAUUUUAUUGACAUAGUAAUUAACAUACAGGAAAGUGGAGAAAGAACAAUAUCGUCCAAGCCAUCUCCAGCAGAUGAAGCAAUACAAGUUCUGGUAAAUGCCUACAAAUCCUCCAAUACUUCUGAAAAUGCCAAAAAGGAAAUGCAAGACAUAAAUGAAAUGGGUGGAGUGAUGAUCAGAAGAAACCAAGCUAGUUUCCUGACAAAGGUGUUUGUACUCACCAGAAGAUCGUUUGUGAACAUGUAUAGAGACGUCGGAUACUACUGGCUACGUCUUGGCAUCUAUAUUUCCAUUAGUCUAUGCCUUGGUACCAUAUAUUACAAUUUUGGCUAUGGAUACGAUUCCAUCCGUUCUAGAUCAUCAAUGCUAAUGUUCACCAGUGGCCUUCUAACAUUAAUGGCAAUUGGAGGAUUCCCUUCCUUUGUGGAGGAAAUGAAGAUAUUCAGGAGAGAACGGCUAAAUGGGCAUUAUGGUGUGUCAGCAUUUGUGAUCUCCAAUUGGUUGUCAGCCACGCCAUAUCUUUUCCUUAUUGCUAUAUUACCUGGUGCAAUAGCCUACUACCUGUCUGGUCUAAAGAGAAGAGUAGACCAUUUUGUAUAUUUUACGCUUGUCCUUUGUUCGUGCACGAUGCUAGUUGAAGGCCUUAUGAUGACUGUAGCUGCUAUCGUGCCAGAUUUUCUGAUGGGCAUCAUCACAGGUG